rnacentral:tRNA from 1 species
GGAGAAGUGCCAGAGUGGUCGAAUGGGCCUGACUCGAAAUCAGGUGUGCCCUCACGGGUACCGGGGGUUCGAAUCCCUCCUUCUCCG